rnacentral:rRNA from 1 species
AUUGAACGCUGGCGGCAGGCUUAACACAUGCAAGUCGAACGAGCGGCGGACGGGUGAGUAAUGUCUGGGAAACUGCCUGAUGGAGGGGGAUAACUACGGGAAACGGUAGCUAAUACCGCGUACCAUAAGAUGAGCCCAAGUGGGAUUAGGUAGUUGGUGGGGUAAUGGCUCACCAAGGCGACGAUCUCUAGCUGGUCUGAGAGGAUGACCAGCCACACUGGGACUGGGACACGGCCCAGACUCCUACGGGAGGCAGCAGUGGGGAAUAUUGCGCAAUGGGCGCAAGCCUGAUGCAGCCAUGCCGCGUGAGUGAAGAAGGCCUUCGGGUUGUAAAGUACUUUCAGCGAGGAGGCGUUACCUGCAGAAGAAGCACCGGCUAACUCCGUGCCAGCAGCCGCGGUAAUAC